AAUGUAGGUUAAUCUUAAAAAAAAAAUGUGUAUUGAAAAACCCUGAAGCUGUUUGGUCAACUCUAACCUAUGGGAGCUGUGGAAAAUUUGACAGGUCAUUUCACUUGUUUAUUGGUCAAUAUUAUUGCUUUGUGAUACAGCGAACAACCACAAAAUUAUUUCUCUUUUGCUUAGCCAGGCACUAAGAGUGGGAAGGAAACUGGUAAUACCAGUACAUGCCCCAAUCUGGAAAAGUUGAAUAGACAUUCCUUAAUUUCCUUUGUGACUAUGAAAAUGAAAGUUCUUUCUUCACAGAGAGGAAACAACCUAGACAUCAUAAAAGAAAUACCGAUAUCACCACUUCUUUUAAGAUGAAAAGAUAACAUUUUAUGCACAUGACAGAGUAGGCAAUGUUCAACCCUUGAAUCUAUCAAAUCAGUAUAAUUUCAUGGAGGAUCAGCACUUUCAAGCUUUUACGAUUUAACUGCUUUUAAUGGUUUUUGGUAAUUAUACUGUUAUCAUCAUUUUAAAAUAAGUAUAAUUGGUACGCUCUUCAGGGAUUGAACAGGAAAACAUGGUAUUGUUUUGCCACAGAGAGAGAGAGAGAGAGAGAGAGAGAGAGAGAGAGAUUGAUUACUGGAGGAAGGAAAAAAGGAAUGAAGGAAAAAAGGAAGAAGAAAGAGAGAGUAUAAAAACCAUUGCAAGAAAUUACAGAUCAGUGCGGGAAAGACUUGCUGACACUGGUGGCUGGAAGGAUGACAGAGAAGCUUGCCUGAUGGCAGAGCUCAUCUCACUAUGCUCCUUGCAGGUAAGGAUUUAUUCAUUUGCUCAUGCAUUCACUCAUUCAUUCAAUUAGGAAUACUGCAGUCUGUACACAAGAUGUAUGUGUGUGUGUGUAUGUGUGUGUAUUAGUUGCUUAGUCGUGUCCGGCUCUUUGCAACCCCACAGAAUGUAGCCCACCAGGCCCCUCUGUCCAUGGGCCUCUCCAGGCAAGAACACUGGAGUGGGUUGCCAUUUCCUUCUCCAAAAGAAACUAUAGAAAGAAAGUGAAGUUGCUCAGUCGUGUCCGACUCUUUGCGACCCCAUGGACUGUAGCCUACCAGGCUCUUCCAUCCAUGGGAUUUUUCAGGCAAGAGUACUGGAGUGGGUUGCCAUUUCCUUCUCCAAAAGGAACUAUAGAAAGAAAGAAAGUAAAGUCGCUCAGUCGUGUCCAACUCUUUGCGAUCCCAUGGACUGUAGCCUACCAGGCUCUUCCAUCCAUGGAAUUUUCCAGGCAAGAGUACUGGAGUGGGGUGCCACUUCCUUCUCCAGGCACACAAGAUAGAACACCUCUAUUUUCAAGUUCACCAGUUAGUGAGCUCCCUAUGUGCUAGGCUUGAGAACAUAGAGGUGAGCCAGAUUUCACAGGUUCAUCCAUCUCUAGGAAUCUUAAGGCAGCAGGCACGUCCUUUCUGAGAAGCCCCCAGUCUGGAUGAGGUUCCCGUCCAUCAUAGGUGCUCCUGAGGUACUUUGCCCUCAAGCGUCACCACACACACUGCAAUGGGAGCUCUGGGCUCUGCUCCCCACAGCUCUGGUCCCAGAGAGCUUAGCAUAACACCUGGCAGCUAGUAGGUGCUCAAUGAAUAAUGGUUGGAAGACUGUAACAGUACUUCUCACAGCACUCUAUGCCAUCCAGUUACUUUUCUUCCUUCUUUCUAGUUUAAUUUUUUAUUAUUUAUGUGUUUUUUUAAAUUGAAGUGUAGUUGAUUUAAAA
rnacentral:lncRNA from 1 species